rnacentral:rRNA from 1 species
AUACGUAGGGUGCAAGCGUUAAUCGGAAUUACUGGGCGUAAAGCGUGCGCAGGCGGUUUUGUAAGACAGUGGUGAAAUCCCCGGGCUCAACCUGGGAACUGCCAUUGUGACUGCAAGGCUGGAGUGCGGCAGAGGGGGAUGGAAUUCCGCGUGUAGCAGUGAAAUGCGUAGAUAUGCGGAGGAACACCGAUGGCGAAGGCAAUCGCCUGGGCCUGUACUGACGCUCAUGCACGAAAGCGUGGGGAGCAAACAGGAUUAGAUACCCUGGCAGUCCACGCCCUAAACGAUGUCAACUGGUUGUUGGGGAUUUAUUUUCUCAGUAACGAAGCUAACGCGUGAAGUUGACCGCCUGGGGAGUACGGCCGCAAGGUUAAAACUCAAAUGAAUUGGCGGGG